ensembl:misc_RNA Y_RNA Y RNA
GGCUGGUCCAAAGAUAGUGAGUUAUCUCAACUGAUUAUUCCCAGUUAGUGACAGAUCGAACUCCUUGUUCUAGUCUUUCCCUACUUCUCACUACUGCACUUAACUAGUCUAAA